rnacentral:rRNA from 1 species
AGGACUUCAAUAUGGUAGUCUGUUAGUAUAGUUGAAGGAUUUGGAAAAUUCCGCUAAAGAGGGUGAAAGCCCCGUAGACGAAAUGCUGACAACACCUAGGAGGAUCCUGAGUACGGCGGAACACGAGCAAUUCCGUCGGAAUCCGCGGGGACCAUCCCGCAAGGCUAAAUACUCCCUAGUGACCGAUAGUGAACCAGUACCGUGAGGGAAAGGUG